rnacentral:lncRNA from 10 species
CUAAGGUAUUUUACCAUCAGUGAGUAUAGGUCUGUGGUGUCAUUUGUAUUGACUAUGUAUAAAUUCAUCUGUGACUUAACCAUAAUUUAACCAAUACCCUAUUUUUUCUUUUUGCGCAUUUGGACAUUCAUUCAUUAAACAAAUACUUCAUAUAGAGUGCCUUCUGUAUGUCAGAUGCCGUUCUAGGAAUUGGGUCUCAGUCUGGAACAGGAUAUAUGUCAGAUAACCUAAAUUCCGAAUUUUUGUUUGUUUUAUUUUGUUGGUUGGUUUAAUGGAAACAUAAUAAGGAAGAAAUCUGAAAUCCCAUCAGUCUACAAUAGGACCUCUCUUCGAUGACAUUCUCACCUCUGUCUCUCUCUCUCUGUGUGUGUGUGUGUGUGUGUGUGUGUGUGUGUGUGUGUGUACACCUUUUACUUUCUUUUUUUUUUUUUGGCUACUCUGAUAACACUGCAAUAGAAGUCUCCUUAUGGAAAGUCUUUACAAGUGUCCUUUACUAAUCACUUCAGCUAAGGAUGGGCCAGAGGCCAUGCGUGUUUUCAAGGCUUUGAGUGAGGACUGCCCCCAAGUGAUCUCUAGAAAAAAUAUAUCCAUUUACACCUUAGUGUCUGAGAGCACUGAUUAAUCUCUGAGCAACACAAUUUUUUUAAACUUUUGCCAGUUUGGUAUGCUUGCCUGAUUUGUAAGGGAACUGAAAGCACCCUUUUUGGCCUCUGCAACACUUAAAAGUACAUCUCACAAGACCCUCUGCCCACCCUUUCCUAGUGCUUAAGUCUUCCCAAAGAUGAGGUACAGCAUUUCGGUAAUAAUGAAAAGAGAUAUCACCACAGUCACUUGAAAAGUGAAGAACUUGGCCUCCUAGUGGGUAACAACCACAUUCUAAUGCACCUCUUUGCUAAGCCCUUGCUCUUCACAAUAAUGACAACUCAAUACGGAUAUAUUCACACUAUUCUCUCUAGUCCCCCGUUUGUCUAACCUUGAAAUGUUUGACUUGAAGGUUGAUGAAAACAGGAUCAUAUCCUUAAGUAAGGCCUAUCUUGGGAAUACUAUGUCUUUCAUAGGUCUAAUAUGACCUAUGAUGUGAUGGAAAAACCAUGGUCCUUAUUUUACAGGUGAGUAUAGGUGCUUGGAGAGGAUAAGGAAAUCACCCUGAUCCAAUAGCUGGUAACCUGCGAGGCAUAUCCUAUCUCAUGACUAUGGUAACUUCAAGCAUUACAUCGUCACGCAACUAUUCAAGCCUGGAUGAAAGCAUGAACCAGCAUGGACAAGUAACAAACAGUUUGAAGACCAGGCUGAGUUCAUGACCACACUUGUUGACUCUGGUGACUUCAUAAGAUGGCCCCCGCCUGCCUCGCCUGCCUCUUGUCUGCUGCUCCUUUUGAUUCACCUACAACAAGCUGUUCUCUGUUACCAGAAUAUGCCACGUAUUUUGUUUUACUUCUGGGACUGACUUUACAAUCUGUUCUUUCUUCCUGGAAUGCCC